CCUCUCCAAGCCGGGAGAAGGCUGAGGCAGAGCUGUGGUUUGGGCGCUAUCCCUGGGGUUUGCUCCUGGCCUGGAGGGGCGUGGUGGGGAGGGCUGCCGGAAGGGGAUUUGGGCUUAUUAGCAGCAACCAGCCCUGGCGAGGGACGGCUUCCAGGACGUGAAACCGCAAAAUCAAGCAGGACGCUCCUGCGUUCUCAGUAAGACAGAAACACUCAACCUCUGCAUUUGACCUUCUCUGAUUCAGGGUUGCAUUUAUUGGCAGAGUUAAUGCUAGAUCAAACCUUGACUACAGAGAACUUCAGCUUCGUUCUUGUUGUCUGGCUGGGGCUCUGCAAAAGACAAGGGACCAACAGAAGGUUGUCAACACGUGUCUCCCCUCCACCUGCCCAUACUCGAUUGGCUUCAUUGAUGACCGGGAAGCUGAGGGCUUUUUUUCUGAUAAAAAUGAUGGACAGCACAAGGACAAAGGCGUGCGGGUUAAUGCUAAUAAAAUGUGAAUAAAAUCUCUGCCAAGAUGAAAUCAUCCCUCGAUUUCCAUUCAUUCUGCAAACAAUCUGGUGAUCAGCUGCUUUUAUUGUACCCUGUGUGCAUUUCUCUCACAAAAAGAAACAAGGCAGCGUUUUGAGAAUACUAACUUUUGAGAGAAAAUUUAAGCCACUGAUCUUGGAAGACCUUGCUUUGUAGAGUUCCUCUGUGUGUGUUUGAGAGUGUGUGCUACGUUUCCUUUCUGUACCCUUGAAUAUUAAAGAACAUUUUCAAUCUCCA